GAUGAACGCUGGCGGCGUGCCCAAUACAUGCAAGUCGAGCGAAUGGAUUAAGAGCUUGCUCUUAUGAAGUUAGCGGCGGACGGGUGAGUAACACGUGGGUAACCUGCCCAUAAGACUGGGAUAACUCCGGGAAACCGGGGCUAAUACCGGAUAACAUUUUGAACCGCAUGGUUCGAAAUUGAAAGGCGGCUUCGGCUGUCACUUAUGGAUGGACCCGCGUCGCAUUAGCUAGUUGGUGAGGUAACGGCUCACCAAGGCAACGAUGCGUAGCCGACCUGAGAGGGUGAUCGGCCACACUGGGACUGAGACACGGCCCAGACUCCUACGGGAGGCAGCAGUAGGGAAUCUGCCGCAAUGGACGAAAGUCUGACGGAGCAACGCCGCGUGAGUGAGGAAGGCUUUCGGGUCGUAAAACUCUGUUGUUAGGGAAGAACAAGUGCUAGUUGAAUAAGCUGGCACCUUGACGGUACCUAACCAGAAAGCCACGGCUAACUACGUGCCAGCAGCCGCAGUAA
rnacentral:rRNA from 1 species